UUGACUUGCUCCUACAUUCACAUAUACUGUAAGCGUAAAUUCAUUUACUAAAUCACAAACUAUAAUAGUUUGAAAAAUAUGAAUGCUUACCGACAUAUAUGUGUGGAAGUACCAAUUCCCUGACCCCUUUUCUUGUAGAUAAUAGACUUGCGCGUUCAGUACUCUAUCAUUAAUCCACAUUUCGGGCCUCAGGCACAUGAACUCAUCUCUCGUGACAUGAUGUUCAUUUUCUAUUUCAAUUAUAACUUCCUCACUAAAACGAAAGAAGAAAGCAAUUGUUAUAAUUAAAUUCACGUACGGGACAAGAUAUAAGGAAUUUGGUCAAUUUCAUAAUUCAACAUUUGUAUGUAAGUAGUUACCUUGAAAAGUUGUUAGACCUAAAAAUAUAACUGAAUAAUUCAAAAUCGGAGUUUUGUAAGUCCUCGGGUUUUAAUUUGAAAGGCCCAAUUUUAAUCUUAGACGCCGUCUUUUGCACAGCCUUUCCUUUUGCAUUUGAGGGUCAACCCAUGGCUCUCUACAAUGAAGCCCUGGACGCCUUUCAGCCGUUCGACGUGUUUGAAUUCGACUUUGAUCACCACGGGCCAAUUUUGUGAACUUCCUCUUUUCCACGCCAAAUUUCAACUGUGGAAAAGGGAAUCCAAAUAUUACAGUUUGAAAAAAAAAAAAAUUCUGUAUUUUACAACUAUGUAAAUAAAUGCGUACUGAAUAAACGUAAAAGAUAACAAAAAACUCGAUCUUGAAACUCCUAAUCGCUCAUCAUACCUCAGGUUCACUGAAAGUCUGUCCAUCCGGUAAUGGCGUCCAAGGAUUGUUUACAUGAACUGGACCUUUCUCCUUUAAGUUCCUAGAUUCUUCACCCUUCUUCUUCACAGCAUUCUCACCACCUUCAUCUCGUAUUUUCGGUGGCCCGUCCUCCUUAGUUUGAUUCACAUCUUCAUGUCUUGCGUCUUUCAUAAAGGACCUCGCUUCACUCAUUACCUUGUCAGUGAGUUCCAACACUGAGCGCUGGACCUCUGCCUGUAUUAUCUGGCCCAAAGCAAGUCCUAC
rnacentral:lncRNA from 1 species